CUUCUGCGGGAGCGCAUGUGGGCCUUACGUCCUCGUGUUGAUCAGCUCAGCGACUUCGUACACGCGCGCGUCCACGGCAGCGACUCAGCAAACGGGACGCACAGCGUGCAGGGUCUCCACGCACGGUAACAGGGAGGUAUCCCACACAAAAAAGGCGUCCCACCGGCCCACCCUCGCCUUAUGCACCGAUGAGCGGUGCCCCGGCAAAGAGACGUCGCCUCGACAGCGAGGAUGACGAAGACGAGUAUGUUGCACUCCGUUCGAGCUCCCCACUUCUCCAGCACGCCACGAGCGCGCGCUUCCCGACGGACGAGGUGCCCACCCUGGAAGACGGAGAGGGAGCGAGCGACGUAGCGGAGACACUAGCGAGCGGCAGGGCACCGGAUCCAGCGACAUACGUCGAGGCUGACGACCCCGCUGAGGUGGCGAGAAGCGCAGCGGACGCGUCGGCAGCAGGGCAUCUGAGCGGUGCCAUUGCGCCCAAGUCACACUUGUUUUUUGAAGAGGAUGAGGAUGUUCCUGCCGAGUACAAGGGCCUGUUCUCUGCAGAGCUGCUGAAUGUGCUCUUUGUGCCGCUUGACUACAUCUGCAAACAGAGGAGCUGCACGGAUAAGCUGCUGUCUCAGUACGCGCCGACGGAGGACACGCCGCACUCGGCAGCAGAGCGUAAACCGUACCACAACGUGUACGGGAUCGCGCCUGGGUUUCGCUGGGACGGCGUCGUGCGCGGACGUGGCCCCGUGGAUUGACACAGCGGCGCCAUUUGUAGUGCAACUGUUCAGCACCGGUCUCUCCUUACUUUGGGAGGGGGAAGGGCGCGUCUGUCUGUAUGUUUUAGCCUAGGUGGCUCUAGAAACUUACCUGCCCGUCCUCUUCCUCUUCCUCUAGAGAGGCGAAAGCGAAGGCGCAGCAGCGAGAAAUGAGCUACAGCAGUGCCUCAUGGCGCACAAGAGCCGCUGCAGUUCUUGUUCUGCCACACAAGAAGCGUUG
rnacentral:misc_RNA from 1 species